AAACCCGGAGCCCUAUUUUGGAGACUGAGGACUGAGGAGCUACUGCGGCUAUGGCGAUUCGUUCUUCUUCUCUGUUAUCGAAUCUCAGAAAAUACCAAUCCAAACCUCCAUCCUUCAUCUCCUAUUCCAGAGCAUCAUUCUCAUCAUCAUCAGGAUCUAUAUCAUCAGUAACCAAUCACAUCGAAGGAGAAUCAGACAAUCAAGAAAACGAUGAUAAUCUCAAAACCAGGUUAUUCAAACUCAGAUUCCCUAAACGAAGUGCAACUACUACUAUUAAAAAUUGGAUUAACGAAGGAAAUCAAGUUACACUUCCAGAAUUACGUCAACUCGCUAAAGAUCUCAACAAAUCUCACCGAUUCAAACAUGCACUCGAGAUAUCAGAAUGGAUAGUUACUCGAAAAGAAUUCGAGUUAUCAGAUACUGAUUAUGCGACACGGAUUAAUUUGAUGACGAAAGUCUUUGGUGUUGAUUCUGCUGAACGGUACUUUGAAGGACUGCCUCAGGCUGCGAAAAAUGGUGAGACUUAUACUGCAUUGCUGCAUUCUUAUGCUAGUGCUAAAUUGACUGACCGAGCCGAGAGUUUCUUUGAGAGGAUUCAGAGGGAGAAAGUUUGUGUGAGUGCGCUUGCGUAUAAUGAGAUGAUGACACUAUAUGUAUCGGUAGGGCAAUUAGAGAAGGUAGGUUCGGUUAUUGAAGAGAUGAAGAGGCGGAAUGUUUCACGUGAUCUUUAUAGUUAUAAUCUGUGGAUUAGUUCUUAUGCUGGUUGUAUGGAUAUUGAUGGGGUUAGGAGGAUUCUUGAGGAAAUGAGUUGUGAUUGUAACUCGAAAGAUGGGUGGGUAGCAUAUAGGCAACUUGCGGAAAUAUAUAUUACUGUAAGUAAUCUUGUGAAUUCAGUGGAUGAGAAUUCGUUAGUUGAGGCUGAAAGGAAGAUAAGUCAAAGAGAAUGGAUAACAUAUGAUUUCUUGAUUAUACUUUAUACUGGUUUGAGAUACAAAGAGAGAAUUGAUGCGAUAUGGAAGUCGUUGAAAUUGACGGCUCAGAAAAUGACAAGCAGAAACUAUAUGUGUAUUCUUUCUUCGUAUGUGAUGCUCAGGGAGUUUGAAGAAGCUGGUGGAGUACUUGACGAGUGGAAGGAAUCUAAGUCUGUGGAUUUUGAUGCCCAACAGUAUAGGAAGCUUGUGGAUGCUUUUGCAGGGGUUGGUUUAGUGGAGAAAGCCGAGUUACUCCAUACCCUUAUGAUACGGAAAUAUUGCAACCCUGUAGAGGAGUCGGACUGAGGGUUAGUUAUAUUUGAUUCAAGUGUUGAGGACUGGAUUUUUUACAAGCUGUUUUAUUCGUUUCAGUAAGACAAGGUGAAAAGUAUUUGUUACUGUGGGUUUCAGUUGCUAUGUUCUUACGAUGCUCUAUAGGGGUUACAUCUGCAGAGACGGUUUACGAGGAACUGACGAACACAGGAAUGUUGAAGUUGGCUGGAGUUCUCAUUCCACCUUAGCCAACGUCGAUACGAGGGCAGUUCUUCCUGAGAAGGCAUUUGCACCUUUGCUAUUUGUUCCUCAUCAUCUAGUCUUGGUCAAUCUGAAAAACAAGUUUCUUAAUUACUGCAGGGUAUUAAUGGCUCAAGAGUUGAGAAAGUAAUGGACUUGGUUCAUAUUUGCUGCUAACAAGAGCACUGUUCCCAGGGAUGUGUCCUGGUGGCAUUCAAAUGGGGAAACUUUUUCUUCAAAUUUAGAGUACAUGGUUUUGAAUAAUGACUUAUAAUUAGGUAAAAUGGUAAAUCUGGCUUAAGGAAUUCCUGGGGAUGUGUCUGCCAUGAUUCAGGAACUCCAGCUCUCACAUCGAGGGGAUUCCUGGAGGAAGAUUUCGCUAAAGUAGCAGAAUUCUUCGAUGCAGCUGUGAAAUUGGCCUUGAAAGCGAAAGCUGAAUGCAAAAGAGGAUCCUAAACUUCACUAUUGAUAAGUAGGUGUAUAUGCUUCAACAAUGCAGUGGAUAGCAGCAGUCGGACAAAGGAGGAAAAACAAAAAAUCUGACUUGUGAGUCAUGGUUUGCAAGUUGCUUAAUGAAUCAGAAAUGGGCAGAACCACCCACGCAAAGACGAACAAGGAAUUAAUAUCAAGCAUAAUUGAAGCUUCAAAGUACAAAAUAAUAAGGGCUAACUUGAAUACUAAUGUAUAUUCUCCCAAGAACUAACUAACGUUUUCAAUUGUGUAGCAACCAUGACCAACCAAACAAGACGACGUCAAACGCACUAAACAAAAGUGAACAUUUGACCCCCUCUAAACAGGUUUAUAUAUGAAACAUCAUAGUAAUUAAACUAGUAAUUAAGUAAUGAAGAUUCGAAAAUUUCAGGUGGAUGCAGCUGUAGCUGCAGGUAGAAGCAACUCACAGAACAUUUUGCAGUAAGCCAACACUUCAUCUCGAGUUGGUAAGCACUCUUUCAAAAUCUCAACAUUAAGAAAAGGCAAGUUCUCUUCAUCCACAAGUUAAAAAGAAUAUUUGUCCAUCAAAUAUAUGUUUCGGAGAGUAAGAGUGCUGUAACAUGGGGCUUUGAUUUUGAGUGCGCAUUCAACUCUCAUGAGCUUUUAUUGAUUUUGAACAAAGCAUUUGAAUUCUUGAUUUA